AUUGAACGCUGGCGGCAGGCCUAACACAUGCAAGUCGAAAGAGUGGCGGACGGGUGAGUAAUGUCUGGGAAACUGCCUGAGGGAUGGGGAUAACUACUGGAAACGGUAGCUAAUACCGCAUACCAUCGAAUGUGCCCAGAUGGGAGUAGCUAGUAGGUGGGGUAAAGGCUCAACUAGGAGACGAUCCCUAGCUGGUCUGAGAGGAUGACCAUCAACACUGGAACUGAGACACGGUCCAGACUCCGACGGGAGGCAGCAGUGGGGAAUAUUGCACAAUGGGCGCAAGCCUGAUGCAGCCAUGCCGCGUGUAUGAAGAAGGCCUUCGGGUUGUAAAGUACUUUCAGCGGGGAGGCGUUACCCGCAGAAGAAGCACCGGCUAACUCCGUGCCAGCCGCCGCAGUAAUAC
rnacentral:rRNA from 1 species